CGAUUAUAUAAAAGUAAAUGCGCCACAGUCGGCGGACGCGCGAAGCAGGAUGUUGAAUAUCACUUUACAUUUUUCAAAACACUAAACCCGACAGAUUUGUUUACGAAUUUCUUUGUAAUAACCGCUCGCUUGACCCUAUAGACCAGCGGGGUCAAGCGAGCGGAAAAAUUGCUCCCAAUUAGUGGUUUUGAAACGACUCAAGGUAUGUGGCACUCAUACAGGAAAUGACAUAAACGGGUCAAAACUAACAAUAUGUCGCAGGGCGGACGCACUGAACCUGCUCUGUACCGGAUGCUUCGAGACAGGUUUCUAUAGUUUUGGGAGGUGGAUGCUGAGGACCUGAGCUGAGUGCGCGCUUCUCAUCCAUCACUGUCAUCCUCUGCAAGUUCAGCGCAGACGACACACUUUCACUGUGACGCCGAGCCGGUGGGCUGUGGCUGUCGCAGGUGCAGCUGCUGUCUGGGGCAGAGAGAGGAGACAAACACCACAGACAGUGAAUGCUGGAGUGUUGACAGAUUUCUUUCUGGUGACGUGUGCUGGACCAAUCAUUUAGUCGGCUUAAACUCGUCCCUGCAAGCUCUGAUUCAUCAGCCUCCACUUCUGAAUGCACGCCCACAUCUCAAAAUCCAAACAACUGAUGGAUAGAACCAAGUCCCCACCCUAUAUUUCUUUUUUCUUUUUCAUUAAGCC
rnacentral:lncRNA from 1 species